rnacentral:lncRNA from 1 species
AAAUUCUGUCACAAUUUUCCUUCUUUGGAAAUGUCUGCAAUUUCUCUGACUUGUAGUUUUCAUUACCAGGAGAGGUUACAACACUCUGGGUUUGGCCAAGAUGCAAAUUGAUCUCCCACAAAGAUUUAGAGAAAGUCUGGAGCAACUAAUUUGCAUAUCUAUAUAUCAGCAGCAAGUUAACAGGACCAGAGACACAGAAAUGGAGUGGACAAAAGACACCUUAAGAAGCUACAAACCAACAACCAGAAAGCCUUUUAGCUCAUGAAAAUAUCCUGUGUAGAAGCACAGUAUAGAAGAAAAAGGCUGGUAUGUGACUGAAGAAACUGUGACUGAAGUAAUUGAGUCUACCACAGAUGACUUUGCAUGAAUUUGAGUUCUCAUUUCUUUCCACACAAGCUCACCCUACAAAUGAAUAAGAUGGCAAUAUUCACUUUAACUAGCUCUUUCAAAUUGUAGUGACCCUUAUCAUAUGAAAGCAUAUCACCUAAUAGAGAAUAAACUGUUCUCACUGGACCUAAUGCA